rnacentral:rRNA from 1 species
CUACGUGCCAGCAGCCGCGGUAAUACGUAGGUGGCACGCGUUGUCCGGAAUUAUUGGGCGUAAAGCGCGCGCAGGCGGAUUGGUCAGUCUGUCUUAAAAGUUCGGGGCUUAACCCCGUGAUGGGAUGGAAACUGCCAAUCUAGAGUAUCGGAGAGGAAAGUGGAAUUCCUAGUGUAGCGGUGAAAUGCGUAGAUAUUAGGAAGAACACCAGUGGCGAAGGCGACUUUCUGGACGAAAACUGACGCUGAGGCGCGAAAGCCAGGGGAGCGAACGGGAUUAGAUACCCCGGUAGUCCUGGCCGUAAACGAUGGGUACUAGGUGUAGGAGGUAUCGACCCCUUCUGUGCCGGAGUUAACGCAAUAAGUACCCCGCCUGGGGAGUACGACCGCAAGGUCGAAACUCAAAGGAAUUGACGGGGGCCCGCACAAGCGGUGGAGUAUGUGGUUUAAUUCGACGCAACGCGAAGAAUCUUACCAGGUCU